CACACACACAUGCAAGCAGGCACGCACCCACACAAACAUCACAAAGACAUAUAAAUCGGGAUCAUUCAUUAAUGCAAUCCAAAGAUGACACGUUUAACAAUUUAAUUUUACAUUAACAUAUGUCGUGUAUCUUUACAUUCUGACACUCAGUUUACUUUCAUAACUCUGUUAUUCUGUUUAUUUUCAAAUGUAUAUUACUCUCACAGUAACAAAAUAAACAUAAUUACUCAAAACAGCACGAAUAAGAGAUAAUGCGCUACGGUCCCUAAGCUGUGCGUGAAAAAGAAACUGCUAACGCGGAAGUGUCGCGUCUUUUAAGGUGGAACGAAAAGCGUCAAUAAGAAGCUGCGAAUAAGAAGCUAGAUUCAGCCUCGUGCUAAACUCGCCGAUCGGUUACAUCCAGCCACAGCCGAUGUCGAACACACCUAUUUCCUUUCAGGGAUUGUGCCCUGAUGCCAUCUGCCCCAUUCUCCCAGCCUAAUCUUCCCUCUCGAUGGCUAGCUUCACAUCGGUUGGCUCUCCUUUGGCUUUCUUCGGCUCUCUUCAUCCUGUCUGCCUGCCUCGCUGCUCUCCCUGAUAACAUUUCCUGUCUGAUGCCUUGACGUCUGACUCUUUCUGCCAGGUGCCAUCCUCAGCGUUGACUCACUUUAGUGCCACCCUGCUGAUUGGCAUUGCACUUCUGAGGUCAUCACCAUCUUUCUUCAGCCAACCAAAACAAUUCUCACCAACCACCCCGGCUCUGCUAAGCUUGAUGUUGGAGGUCUGCUGUUUUUGAAGCAGGGGACCACUGUCCAUUAAAGGCUUUCUAAACCAUUUAACAAAAUCACAAAAGAUAGGGUAGUUCAUACUCCAUGUGAUGUGCUAUACAAUGGAAGGGCCAUCACAUCUGGAUACUGCAAAGAACAAUUUACUAACUUAUCAAUUAUUAAAUGAAGAAAGGCAAUGGAAAAGCAAAGAUAUUUCUUUCCCUGGGGAAUUUGAGUCUUAAAUUUAGUAAUUACUGUUUUAUGGAAUAAAUAAAAGUUGAAUAUUACGUUA